UACAGAGGGGGCAAGCGUUGUUCGGAAUUACUGGGCGUAAAGGGCGCGUAGGCGGCCUUCUAAGUCGAACGUGAAAUCCCCGGGCUCAACCCGGGAACUGCGUCCGAUACUGGAAGGCUUGAAUCCGGGAGAGGGAUGCGGAAUUCCAGGUGUAGCGGUGAAAUGCGUAGAUAUCGGGAGGAACACCUGUGGCGAAAGCGGCGCACUGGACCACAACUGGCGCUGAGGCGCGAAAGCUAGGGGAGCAAACAGG
rnacentral:rRNA from 1 species